UAUAUAUUCCACACUGUAUUUACACUUUACUGUGUGCUAUGAACGAGACUAUCAAAAAACGAUUUUUUAUUUUUAUUCAAUUAUUUAUUUAUCUUUUUAUUUUACCUACUUAUUUAUCUUUAUUUUUUUAUUUUUUUUGGUUUCUGUUUAAUUUAUGCCUUACCUAUUAUUAUUAUUAUUAUUAUUAUUAUUAUUAUUAUUAUUAUUAUUANNNNNNNNNNAUUAUUAUUAUUAUUAUUAUUAUUAUUAUUAUUAUUAUUAUUAUUAUCUUUUCAUAAACUUGUGUGCAUACAGUUUUUAAAAGGAAGCAAUUUUCACAUGUUUAUUAAAAUUUUUAAAGAUAGUUCAUUUUUUUUUUCUUCCUUUUUUUAACAUUAUAAUUCAAAAAAAGUUAAAGUAAAAUAAAUAACCAAAUAUAUAAAUAAUUAAUGAAAUAUAUGUAUAAGUUACUUUAAUAUAAACUUUUUUAUAUCUGCAACAUAACAUACCCUUUUUAAGAAAUUGUAAAAACACACAUUUCAAAUGAUAAAUGCACGUUAUAUAUUUGUAACCAAAUAACAUGUGUGAUUUAACAAAUUUUUAUUUUUUAAGAAUCGACAAAACGAAAAAAAGAAAAUUUUUUUUAAUUGCUCACAACGAAAUGGGAGGGUGUUUUAAAAGUUAAAAAAAAAUAAUUAACAAAUCAUUAACAAAUCAUUAACAAAUCAUUAAUAAACGAAUGGACAAACAAAUGAACAAACAAAUGAAUGAACAAACAAAUGAAUGAACAAAUGAAUGAACAAGCAAACAAAAAAACAAACGAAUGAAUGAAUAAUUUGCAUUAAAAUGCGACAUUGAAUUUUAUAUAAUUUUUUUUUCGAUGUUAUUUAUUUAUGCUUUAUCCUUAUAAUUGUAUUUUUGUUACUAAAUAUUUUUAUUAUUUUUAUUAUUUGUAUAAAAAAAAUCAAAAUGAAUUGUUCAAUCACAAUAUUUUAAAAAAAUGUUCAAUUUUAAUAAAUGUUUAUAACUACCUUUAACCAUCAUAAAAAAUAUAAAAAAUAUAUACCUUUUUUUUUUUUUUUUUUUUACUUUUUCAUCUUAAUUAUUAUUAUAAUUGCCAUAAUAUAUAUAUAUAUAUAUAUAUACCUUUUAUCUUUCCAAAUAAUCUCCGAACGUAUUAAACUUUCUUUGAAAAAAAUUAAAAAGGAAAAAAAGCUCUUUUUUCUAUUGAUAAAAAAAAAAAAAAAAAAAAAAAAAAAAAAAAAAAAAAAAAAAAAAAAAAAAAAAAAAAAAAAAAAAAAAUGUGACAAAACAAGCAAAUACAUACGGACAAAAGGUGCACAUGAUACCAUACGUGUAUGUUUAUGCACAUAUCUAUACAUGCAUGUUUAUAUAUAUAUAUAUAUAUACCCAUUUUUAUAUUCUUGUUUUUUAGCAAAAUAUAUUUGUUUAAAUAUUAUUUUUAGUGAUUUUUGUAAAGCUCUUUUUUUUUUUUUUUUUUUUUUUUUUUCCUACAUUAUAUAUAAUAAACAUUGUUAUUUUUAAAAUAUAACCGAUAAAAAAGGAAAGCUGUUUUUUUUAUUUUUUUUUUUUAUCUUACUUUGACUAUUUGUUCAAAAAACGUUUACCAACCUUACCUACACCUUACCAUUUUUUAUUGUUUCGUUUUAUUUAGUUGAAUAAAAAAAAAAAAAAACAAACUUCA
ensembl:lncRNA